GAUUAAAGUGCAUCUCACUAAAACUAACAGACCAAACAGCACCUGAACUUUUGUUUUAUUCUUUCAAAACCUUGCAUUUAUUAUUUGCUACCGUUUUUAUGACAAACUGCACAUAAAUCGGUCCUGAAGAAGGAUCAAAGUGACUGUAUUUAGUUUUGCAAAAUAGCACAUUAUAUAAUAUUAUAUCAUAUUUUAAUGUUAUAUAUUUGAAGUAUGUUGGUAUUAUUCAAUAAUAUACUGAUUAAUUGGAGUGAAAGGAUUUGAUCUCAAAUUUACAUAGAUAUUUUUUCAAUUUCACAAGUGCUCUUGAAGACUGACGCGCCAAAACCGUUCAGUGGUUCUCAGUGGCAGCCACGACACCUAGCUGGAGAGUUGGAAGAAAGUGAAUUUCCUCUGCAAGAACUGUAGUAGCCUACUGUUUAUUUUCAGAAGAAUAAAUUAAGAGACAACUAAACCAAAUGACAACAAUCAUAAAAAGAGG